UUGCCCAUUUUGCAGCACAUAUACGAAAAUUGGAACUAUACAAGAAGAUUAGCAUGGCCCCUGCAUAGGGAUGACACGCAAAACAUAUAUCAUAAAAUUAUUUGA